rnacentral:rRNA from 1 species
UACGGGGGGGUAAGCGUUGUUCGGAAUUACUGGGCGUAAAGGGCGCGUAGGCGGCUCGCUAAGUCGGAUGUGAAAACUCUGGGCUCAACCCAGAGCCUGCAUUCGAAACUGACGAGCUCGAGUUCUGGAGGGGAAAGCGGAAUUCCUGGUGUAGCGGUGAAAUGCGUAGAUAUCAGGAGGAACACCGGUGGCGAAGGCGGCUUUCUGGACAGAAACUGACGCUGAUGCGCGAAAGCUAGGGGAGCAAACAGG